rnacentral:rRNA from 1 species
GGGCCCGCACAAGCGGUGGAGCAUGUGGUUUAAUUCGAUGAUACGCGAGGAACCUUACCAGGGCUUAAAUGUUAGGUGACUGAUCUAGAAAUAGAUUUUUCUUCGGACACUUAACAAGGUGCUGCAUGGUUGUCGUCAGCUCGUGCCGUGAGGUGUCAGGUUAAGUCCUAUAACGAGCGCAACCCCUGUUGUUAGUUGCCAGCGAGUAAUGUCGGGAACUCUAGCAAGACUGCCAGUGCAAACUGUGAGGAAGGUGGGGAUGACGUCAAAUCAUCACGGCCCUUACGUCCUGGGCUACACACGUGCUACAAUGGUAGGUACAGAGAGCAGCCAUGAUGCGGUGAAUACGUUCCCGGGCCUUGUACACACCGCCCGUCAAGCCAUGGAAGCUGGGGGUACCUGAAGUCCGUCACCGCAAGGAGCG